GGUCUAUUAGUCUAGUUGGUUAGGACGUCGGAUUCUGAUUCACCCCAGAUCUUCCGUAAGCCCAGGUUCGAAUCCUGGAUGGACCU
rnacentral:tRNA from 1 species